CCUUCCCUGAUCCUGAGGAGUUCUGCAGGAUUCAGGCAUAUUUGAACGUUUGAGGCACGAUGGAGUCACAUGGGAGGGUCCCUCCAGAUUCAGAGGUUACGUAAGUGACAUGAGCAUGUGUCCGUGAUCCUAGUACUCAAAAUAGUUGAUGUCAGAUCUAUCAUGAGGUCUGAUCAGGUGACCAGCGGUCUGAACAGGUGACCAGCGGUCUGAACAGGUGACCAGCGGUCUGAACAGGUGACCAGCGGUCUGAUCAGGUGACCAGCGGUCUGAUCAGGUGACCAGCGGUAUGAACAGGUGACCAGCGGUCUGAUCAGGUGACCAGCGGUAUGAACACACGUCCUGUGUCUCCACAGUAUCGCUGCCUGUUCCUAAACAGGAGCAUUUCUACGAUCACCAGAGUGGUUCCGGUUACCUGGAACGGAGCUUAAACUGUCCAGCGACACUUGAAGAUCAAGGAAUCCAAGGCUGCUUUUCCAGGUGGCUGUUUGCUUAAUUUUCACCUUCUGUUCCCAUUAAAUCCUGGAGAGCCGUCGCUAUGCUGACGAUGGUCAGGGACAGUGGAGACUAGAGUUCAUGCGUCUUUUGGGCCUUUUUAUAUGUUCUGUGAGAUCUGCCCAAAGUGUAAUUAGUAAUUUGGUCAUUUAACCUAGAAAUGUGAUGUUAUCUGGGAAUUCCCAGGAUAGUUGAGUCCGUUUAAAAGGAACGUGUCAUCAGUUUAUCUGGUUAUCACGUGGCAGUGCGUAUUGAGUUUUGAAUAUGACACAUUUCACUGGUUCAUCUCCUUGUGCAACUUCUUCCCGUUCCUCCAGACCACCGUGCUGAUGUCGGAGCCAGAAUUCUUCACGGCGCUGUUGGAGGAGGAACACAUCUUGGACUGUCCCGUUACACCUGCAAGGUUUACAGUGAAACCACGGAGUUGACGGGAGCACGGACGACACGACCGCCGUGAACUGCUCGGGCAGCGUUCCCACCGCCAGCCUCAGAAGUGCAGCGUCACGCCGGCUUCCCCGCUGCACAUAAACGCAGGCGACUCUUACAAUUACCGACACUUUCAUGCGUUCCAGUCGGCGGUUGGUGAGGAAGAGGGGGCCAAUCGCUUCUAUUUAAGAGGUAUUUGUUUUGGAGCAGGGGGAAGCGGAAUUCUUUAUACACAUGGCCUUUUUUUUAACAAAUGUAUGAGAAGAAUCCCCAUUUUCAAGAAUAAAACUUUUUUUUUUUUAUUAUUGCAUUAACUGUUGUGGACAAAGGCAACAGAAGUGUGAAUAAAAGAGCCGGCGCUGCACUUUUCCUCUCAUUUACACCUAACGCCACAGUAAAAGCUUUCCACGCUUCACUCGGCAUAUGCUAGUGAUUAUUAAUUAGCUUGUUGCCUGCGUUUUGGGUAAUAAGAGAGAGAGAACCAGUAAAACGGUGAGUCCUCCGUCCCGAGGCGAAAGGCCUAUUCAAUUAAACUUUACUGUGUGUUUGUUUUUCAAUAGGAUUUUUAACGCCGGGCUGAUGCAACAUGGAGGCUCGGAGGGAGCCGACGGUUCUCCUGCCCCAAGAACCGCGUGAAACAAAAGCCCACGUUUAAAAAGAGCCCCGGAUUAGAAGAAGCUCAAACAAACCAGACUUGAUUUUUCUUCUACGACGUCUGCCAAGAAGGACGCGUUCCCAGUGCCCGUUGAUUGGCUGGUGUGUUUACUCGUCAAAUUGGAAACAACAGGCUGCUGGAUGGAUGUCGGGAUAAUCUAAUGUCGGAAAAUAAAGAAGAAGCUGCAAAUCCGACUAUAAAGGGACUGUUGGCACGGUUACGCGCUCAGGCGACCGUUUUCAUCUGCUGUGGUCUCCAGAAAACGUCUCCUUUGAGUAAAUAAGUAUAUUUUGGGUUUAAGUUCUGCCUGUUUGCUGAUUAGCUGAUUCUUUGCUGCUGUACAAGGUCCCGCCUGGUGACCCAUUCGUGACGGUGUUCUAUUUUAAAUGUGUUGCUCUCAGUAAAUAAACUAUUCCUUGCCAAGUCUUAAUGGUCCUGUUCUUGGUUUAGACCUGUUUUGGACCGGCACCAGCCACUGUUUUCCAGCAUUCUUGUAUCCACACGUCGUCCUUCUCAUUCUUCCUCCAUAAAACUCCGUAUUUGUGUCUAAAAUAGCAAUAUUUCAUCAUAACUAACACACACACACACACACACGGCUGAUAGCACAAACAGGUUAUUGUCCGCCCCUCUGUGGGGGGGGGGGGGGGGGGGGGUGACAUAUAAGUCAGGUGAUUGGCAGAGGAGAUGUCUUCACAGUGACAGUCUUUCUGCACUUGUGUGUGUGUGUGUGUGUGUGUGUGUGUGUGUGUGUACAGGCUGAUGUGGCAGAACACUGUCUGGGUCACAGAGUCUGUUGGCACCAGAGCUAAUGGACCUGUCCCCAGUGUGUGUGUGUGUGUGUGUGUGUGUGUGAACUGAU
rnacentral:lncRNA from 1 species